GGGGCCGUAAUGGUUUCGACGGGGGUGCGGAGGCAGGAUCAGCGGGCGGAUGCGCCUGGCAUCCAUAAAACGGGCAAUUAUAAAUUAAAGAACAACACUCGUUCUUACGCUGUCGCCGCUUAAUGGCGACCGUCCCGCCCGGGAGGUCCGCGGCCCGGGAUGGGGCGUCGAUCAGCGGAGCACGUGCGUACGCUAAGCUUUGCGCGUACCAUGCACAAUGAAGCUACUGAACCCGGCAGCAUGACGACCUGCGGCCGGGAGAGGGAAUGCAAAUGAUCGUCUGCGCCCGGAGAAGGUCCUGAGGAAGCGCUUUCGGACAGGGGUUCAACUCCCCUCGGCUCCACCA
rnacentral:tmRNA from 1 species